UCCAUUGUGAGGUGGAAUCUGAAGGAAGCUGUCGGCAAAUCUCCGGUCCGACGGACAAAAAUCACAUAUGAGGCUAGGCUAUGAGAGAUAAGUUGGCUGAAAGUAACGAAGUCUAAUAACUAUCCUCAUCGGGAAGCGUUCAAAAAAACUCCGUCUCAUCCGCAUGACUCGAUCGCGGAUGAGACGGAGAUUUUGUU
rfam:Clostridiales bacterium 41_12_two_minus Ley3_66761_scaffold_16664, whole genome shotgun sequence.